rnacentral:rRNA from 1 species
UACGUAGGGUGCAAGCGUUAAUCGGAAUUACUGGGAGUAAAGCGUGCGCAGGCGGCUUUGCAAGACAGAUGUGAAAUCCCCGGGCUUAACCUGGGAACUGCAUUUGUGACUGCAAGGCUGGAGUGCGGCAGAGGGGGAUGGAAUUCCGCGUGUAGCAGUGAAAUGCGUAGAUAUGCGGAGGAACACCGAUGGCGAAGGCAAUCCCCUGGGCCUGCACUGACGCUCAUGCACGAAAGCGUGGGGAGCAAACAGG